rnacentral:rRNA from 1 species
UACGUAGGCAGCAAGCGUUGUUCGGAUUUACUGGGCGUAAAGGGCGCGUAGGCGGCGUAACAAGUCACUUGUGAAAUCUCCGGGCUUAACCCGGAGCGGCCAAGUGAUACUGUUGUGCUAGAGUGCGGAAGGGGCUACUGGAAUUCUCGGUGUAGCGGUGAAAUGCGUAGAUAUCGAGAGGAACACCUGCGGCGAAGGCGGGUAGCUGGGCCGACACUGACGCUGAGGCGCGAAAGCCAGGGGAGCGAACGGG